rnacentral:rRNA from 1 species
UACGGAGGAUGCGAGCGUUAUCCGGAUUUAUUGGGUUUAAAGGGUGCGUAGGCGGUUUGAUAAGUUAGAGGUGAAAUGUCGGGGCUCAACCCCGAAACUGCCUCUAAUACUGUUGGACUAGAGAAUAGCUGCGGUAGGCGGAAUGUAUGGUGUAGCGGUGAAAUGCUUAGAGAUCAUACAGAACACCGAUUGCGAAGGCAGCUUACCAAACUAUAUCUGACGUUGAGGCACGAAAGCGUGGGUAGCAAACAGG